CCUUACUUUAGCUGCUUGAUUUCUUGUUUUUAUGAUAGUGUUAAGUAAUAGAUCUGUAUUCCUACAUGUAGUCUACAAUCUGAAACUUAUAUAUCACACAAACAAUACACAGAUUACAAGUUAUAAGGACCCAAAGUAGGCAUCUCGACUGUUCUUCAGUUGAAGAACAGCAUUGUCAGACUUUUUGAUGGCUAAUAACUCUUAGAUCUGAUGUUGUUUAGUCAUGAUGUUGGUUGGUAAGUGUAGUAUUACAUGAGUACUACAAGAUCCAAGUAUUAGAUUGCCCAGAAACGUAAUGGAUUGAGAAUUAUUAAUGGUCAAACUAGG
rnacentral:lncRNA from 1 species